rnacentral:rRNA from 1 species
AGCGGUUUGCGGGCCUGCUUUACCAUGCAAGUCGAACGGUGAAGCCAAGCUUGCUUGGUGGAUCAGUGGCGAACGGGUGAGUAACACGUGAGCAACCUGCCCUGGACUCUGGGAUAAGCGCUGGAAACGGCGUCUAAUACUGGAUAUGAGCUCUCAUCGCAUGGUGGGGGUUGGAAAGAUUUUUUGGUCUGGGAUGGGCUCGCGGCCUAUCAGCUUGUUGGUGAGGUAAUGGCUCACCAAGGCGUCGACGGGUAGCCGGCCUGAGAGGGUGACCGGCCACACUGGGACUGAGACACGGCCCAGACUCCUACGGGAGGCAGCAGUGGGGAAUAUUGCACAAUGGGCGGAAGCCUGAUGCAGCAACGCCGCGUGAGGGAUGACGGCCUUCGGGUUGUAAACCUCUUUUAGCAGGGAAGAAGCGAGAGUGACGGUACCUGCAGAAAAAGCGCCGGCUAACUACGUGCCAGCAGCCGCGGUAAUACGUAGGGCGCAAGCGUUAUCCGGAAUUAUUGGGCGUAAAGAGCUCGUAGGCGGUUUGUCGCGUCUGCUGUGAAAUCCCGAGGCUCAACCUCGGGCCUGCAGUGGGUACGGGCAGACUAGAGUGCGGUAGGGGAGAUUGGAAUUCCUGGUGUAGCGGUGGAAUGCGCAGAUAUCAGGAGGAACACCGAUGGCGAAGGCAGAUCUCUGGGCCGUAACUGACGCUGAGGAGCGAAAGGGUGGGGAGCAAACAGGCUUAGAUACCCUGGUAGUCCACCCCGUAAACGUUGGGGAACUAGUUGUGGGGGACCAUUCCACGGUUU